rnacentral:sRNA from 1 species
AGAAAGUCUACGGUGAUUUUGCAUUGCAUCAGCCAUUAUGAAGCUCUGAUGAUAACGUUGAAAAAUUAUGCGAGUUAUUACGAUUGACUUCCUAAUGGAGAAAAGUUGUUAAUAUUUGCCAUUAUAAAUCUCCGUAGGAACGAGGGAAAAUGAUAAUGUGUGAAUGAAGUUAUCUUGGAAAUUUUCCCAUUCAUUGAUUUCAAUUGCACUUCUAUCACAGCUAGAACAAAGGAUACUUGGUGCCAAUGACAAGUUUUGUGAAGUUAUUCUUUGGUUUGGUCAUUCUGGUGAUAUGCUGUGAGAUUUCUUCAAAGCUUCCUCUGUCCACAAAGCUGAACAGGAAGAUCACACAGUCAGCCUGAUUCUCCCAGGUCUGAAAGAAAGUGAAAAUAACCUGCAUUUAAAAUUUGUUAGAUAAUAAUAAUUGACCCUAUACAAAUGGUUUUACUAUGUGUUAAAAACUAACAUGUAUUAUAGGGUCCAAUAUGGAUCGCCAAGCAAUCAUAAUGCUUGUAACGGCCUAUACAUACAAUACAGCUGUAAUUACAUAUAGUGUGUCUCAUUAGUACAUAAACAUGAUGAAAAUAGUCUUGAUAUCUGAACUGCAUCAUUUAACAUAUACAUGUAUUAUGUUUACCAACACAAAUACAAAAUUUAAGGGCAAAUACAUGUGUAGUGAAUAAAAUAGCUUUCUGUUUUAUUUUGACCAUGAAUUCUGAUGAUUUCUAUCUGUUUAAAUUUCUUGUUUUUUACCCAUUUCAAAUAAAGAGACAGGACACUGACCGUUUUGAUGUGUUCGUAUUUUUUCAUUGCUCCAUCCCCCACAUCCCAGAACUGAAGGUGAAACAUCACAAUCUUAUUCAUUUGUUUGACCAUUCCAGGCCAUUGAGUGGUUGUGAUGUGGAUACCUGCCAAAAUUAAAGCAAAAUAUGAUGAAUAUUGACUUCCAUGUACUUGUAUUUGUAGACAUAUUCAAGCUAAUAAAUACUCAUUAUGUGUCCGUUUUUGCACAAAAAAAAAUCCUUUCCUUGAAGACAUGUGCACUUGGAUAGUGAUUACCUGGGGUUUCGCUGUGAGUGGCUGGAAUUUCAUUUCCUGAUAAUUUAGCUAUGGUACUAGUUUUUCCGAUCCCACUUUUCCCCACUAAAAGAAUCUUGUACUUCACUUCAUCUGCUGUAAUGUUCGAUGGUAAAACAGGCUUGUCCAAAAUUCCUGUACAAUAAAAAUAUACAUUU